UUAAAUUAUGACAUGCCAGGCUUCUACAAAGUCCACAUUUCAAGGCGUUUCUGCGUUUGGCCAAAUGAGAUGCUAGACUCUCAUUUCAAUGCAUUUUUGCGUCUUUAUUUACUUCAAAUUAGUAAGAAAUGUUGAAACCUAGAGUCAUCCUAAACUAUUUCUUUAGCUCUGAUCCCCCCUCAAGCAGCAAACAAAAUUACAACACAAUGUUGUAAGUGCUAUUCUGAAGAUGUGCUUUGCAAGGUGACUCUAAGCCAGCCUAGAAGUGGAGGGAUCAAGGAAGGGUUGCUGGAAGAGGUGACACCUGAGCUGAGUCUUAAAGGAUGUUUUCUCAAGGCUCACCUCCUCUGCAGAGUGCAGACCUCCACGUCGCUGCACUUUGCACACGUCUCCAUGAUCGCUUGCAUUGCACUAAUUGUCUUUGAUAUGUAUCUUCCUUCCUAGUUUCUAAAUUGCUAGGGAGAAACUAUGAGUUUUAUUUAUCAUUACACCUCAGCCAUGACUGCAUGACUAGCAGAACAUUCAAUAAAUAUUUAUAGAAUCGAUUGGUUUUCAUUUUAGUUCAUAACUCACAGACGUAGUGAAGGACAUCCAUUCUUAUGAAUUCUCAUGAUGAACAUUAAUUCACAGCACAGUUCUGCAUCUGCUUUUGAGUUUGUUGUUGUUGUUGUUGUUGUUGUUGUUUUGAGACAGAGUCUCACUGUCACCCAGGUUUGAGUGCCAUGGCACGAUCUUGGCUCACUGUAACCUCCACCUCCCGGGUUCAAGCGAUUCUCCUGCCUCAGACCCAAGUAGCUGAGAUUGCAGACGUGCGCCACCAAGCUCGGUUAAGUUUUGUAUUUUUAGUAGAGACAGGGUCUCACUAUGUUGGCCAGGCUGGUCUCAAACUCCUGACCUCAGGUGAUCGGCCCGCCUCGGCCUCCCAAAGUGCUGGGAUUACAGGCAUGAGCCAAUACGCCCGGCCUAUUUUUGAGAUUUUCUGCUGCUACUCCAGCUUAGCCUGACAGAGCUUUCACUUUUUGUUCCUACCCCUUCGUGUGCAUCUGAACAAUCCACAAGCCUCACGAACUCCUGUGGCUUCCCUCCCUUCGAGCUGUAUCCACCAUGACCUCUUGACCAGGGCUGAGGGAGAAGGAGGAGGGUCGUGCCACUAUCCUAGCACCCUCUGUCAAGAGCCACAGUCAUCAGAACCAUGGAGUGACUGACUGGGCCUAGGUGCUCUCUGAUGGUGGGAAUCCACUAAUAAGAGGUGUCCAGUUCUUCUAGCAAACUUGUCAGUGCUCAUGUCUUCCAUGGGUUGUGCCCUGAAUCAAUGCAUUUAUUAAUUCUUUCAAAAUGCAAAAUAAAAAUUAUGUGUUGAGCCUCUACUAGGUGCCAAGAGAUAUCUUGUCUAUGCCCCUUACCCCCAUCCCUUGCCCCCCCUACAAACUCUUACCGUUAUGGAGCUUAGAUUCACAUAGGAAAUUGGCUCAGCCCAGGUUCCCCAGAAGAUAGAGCAUGAGGAUAAGUUUCUGUGCUGAAGCUCUAUUAGGGAAGAGUGAGAGUGAUGGAAAAAAGAAAUUAGGUCAACCAGGAUGGGGAGCAAGUUCAUGGCAAUGCAUAAGUGAUCUAGCCAGUGCUUUAUGAAGAGAGACAGCCAGCCUCUUGGCCAUGUAGGAUGUCUCCACAAAGGCUAUGCAGAAGCAUGCCUUGGGUCAGACCAGGGGAAGGAGAGAGGGGAAUGAAAGUUAGAUGCCAGCUUCCUCGCCUGCUCUAGGAGGAGUUAACUUCUUCAACCUCUGGAUGGUACCUGCUCUCUUUAGCAGCCAAGGGGAAGGUAAAUUCCACAACCUAUUCCAUGGCACUUUAUCUGAGUCCAGAGUGGAAGAAAGAGCCAGAGAUGAUCACUGCAGUGGCAGCAGUGGAGCAAGACAGACCAAGAGAAUCUGAGAUGGUUCCCAUGAUGAUACAGAGAUUUAUUGUCUAUUGUAAUAAAAAAAAACUUAUUGUUAUCAAAAAUGGCUAACAGCAAGGUAGGUUCAUCAAUAUAACAAACAUAUCACUCUGGUGGGAGAUGCUGAUCAUGGGGUAGUCUAUGCAUCCAUGGGACAGAGGGUGUUUAUGGGAAAUCUCUGUACCUUCUGUUCAGUUUUGCUGUAAACCUAACACGCCCUAUUUAUAAAAUGGCUAACAAGAUAAAAUGCUACGAUAGUCACGAU
rnacentral:lncRNA from 1 species